AGGAAAGUUUUAUUCUAGGAUUGGAGCUGGAAGCACGAGAUAAAACUAACAGAACUCCCUCCUCCUCUCAUAUUGCCUUAUAACCUCUACCCCUGUUAGCAAGGGUCUAAAGGAAGAUGAUUUUUUUUUCGGAAACAGGAAUCGAACUCAGGAACUUGUGCUUGCAAGGCAGGCUCUGGUGCCACUGAGCUAAACCUCCGGCCCUUUGGAAGAUGAUUAUUAACAAGGGAAGGCCCACAGUUUUACCUCUCAACUUCACAGCAAGCAAAUCCUGGCAAUAUUGUUUGGAGUUUGUCUAGGAUGGAACCCACUAUGCAAGCCUAGAGCUUCAUUCCAAUCUGAAUAUAUCACUGUCAGUUUACACCAGGAAUCAUGGGAGGAAUUUGAGCAACGUGUUGGAUUGUUUAUAUGCAAUAUAUGGAAGAAUUGGAUUAUACAUUCCAGUGCAUCAUUAUGAAUGAUGUACUAUGUAAAAUUCUAAACAAGUCAUUUCACAAUUCUGGAAAGAAUAUCUAGCAUGUGGCUAUGUUGUUAAGAAGAAAUAAGGUCUCUGGCAUUCUCCAUGUUUCUUUUGCACCAUCCUGUGUCUUUAUGUAGCAAUUAAUAAUUUUUCAGGUCUCUUUAUUUUGUGGAAGACAUUUUACACAUCAAAAAUAGUUUUACUACAAGUCACCAAGAAGAAAAUCAAUAUCUUCUAGAAAGUUAUGGUUUUUAUUUUCCUCUGGAUAUUUUAGAAAUCCCUUGAUAUUUCCCACUGGCGAAUAUGGGGGAAAACAUGUAAUAAAAUAAUUCUCAAGAUUUGUGUCAUAUAAGCCGACUGUUAAGUGAAUAGUUAACAAGAAGUCAUAAAUUUCUACAGAAAACUACUACAAAUAUAAAAGUGCUGAGAGGGUACUCAUUGUCGAUCAGUUAAACUUAUUUUUGACACUCUCCCUUCUGCCACAGUGGGUUAAGACUACUGGCCACAGAAAACUUUAAGGGAAAUAAAUGUGCCUUUAAGUUUCCUAAACAACCCUGGUUGAUUUAAGCCUGUUGUCCCCACAAAAUUAUUAAUAGAAUUCCUUUUCCAAGCUUCUGAAACUUCUUUUAUCAUCACUCUAAUU
rnacentral:lncRNA from 1 species